UACAGGGGGUGCAAACGUUGCUCGGAAUUAUUGGGCGUAAAGAGCGUGUAGGCGGCCAUGUAGGUCCGUUGUGAAAACUCGAGGCUCAACCUCGAGACGCCGAUGGAAACCAUAUGGCUAGAGUCCGGAAGAGGAGAGUGGAAUUCCUGGUGUAGCGGUGAAAUGCGCAGAUAUCAGGAGGAACACCGGUGGCGAAGGCGGCACUCUGGGCCGGUACUGACGCUGAGGAGCGAAAGCGUGGGGAGCGAACAGG
rnacentral:rRNA from 1 species